GACUUUGUGGGCGUGCGUGAGCUUUAACGGCCUCGCUGUUUGUAACGUUUGUGCUUUUUGGGUGUACUUUUUCGUAUGGUAGGCCAACAUCAGUUUUGAUCGCUAUAAAAUGAUUGGAGGAAUGUAGCUUCGAUCUCGUAUUGAAGUGUUAUAGCCUUUAGUAGAUGUGGUGAUUGGGACUGAGGAUUGCAACGAAUAUCCUUUGGGGCUAUCCGUCUGAUCUCUGAAAGUCGCUUAGGUGCCGAAAGCUUGCUUACGGUCAUUUAAGUUUGACGGUCAAAAGGUUAGAACGUGAUUACAUUCGUUAAGGAUGUUGACGUA
rnacentral:rRNA from 1 species